GUUGACAGGCAAACGCAAUCUGAGUGCUAUUCCACAGCAAAAUAAAGCUCAUUAUGUUGUGGGAAGGUUCAAAGUGCGGUGGACACAUGAAACAACGUCGCUAUUUAUAUGCCACACCUUGAACAGAAAACUUGAUAAGCUAUCCCAUAAGACGUAAAUGGAUUUCUUGCACAAGUUUUUGGAAUUCCAAUAGAGUGAUUGUUCAUAUAUACAUGUAUAUUUUCCUAUUUAUAAAUUACUGUGCCAUAUAUGUAGACCCACUGUCAAGCAAUAUUUACAAGAGGUUUAUAGAAGGUUAUCUAGCGAAAUCGGCCUCUAGCGAUCGACAUAGGAGUUGAAUUGUCUGUCAAAGAUUAAUAAAAUUGUUUUCUGAUAAGCCCCAACAAACACUUGAAUUAAUACCAGCAAUCAGGUUGUGCCACUUGUGGUCUAGUUGUCUAGUCGAACUAGUCGGGUGAAAGCGCAACAAGCAUCUAUUGAAAUCGAUUACCAACAUGCCACAUACCAUGUUGCAAGAAUAUUAUCUUAGAGGCCGGUCUACUUUGUUGCUAUGGCGUUGCCUCUGGCGAAGCAUCAAAUGUCAGCAGACGAGGGGCAUUUGACAAAGGGUCGUUUAAACACGCAACGCGCCGAAUAGCCGCAAGCGGAAGGGAGCUCAACCGCACAUGGCGAAACGGACAGUUCGUACAGAACAGCAACAAAAUAAACAAAAUUAUACGAAUUGCGAGGUGUUUGACUAGCUAAAUACUCUGUAACUAGCAGGUAUAUGGUGUCAGCAGCCAAAUCUACAAUUCAAUUAAUUUAAGUGCCGACAGUCCGACAGUUAAGGUAAAACUGGUAUAUAAAAAGUAAAAUAUUCUUAAAUAGUGUUUACUAUAAAUGAUAUGACUCUAGCUGAUACAAAUAAAUAUAUUAGAAAGGUCCAAAGCCACGAAAGAGACAGCAUCCUCAACUACCCAUAGAAAAAUUCACAGCAAAUGAAAUUAGACUAUUUUAUACAUUCACACACAACUGUGCUACCUCUUUACCUCGGCUUUGCACAGGGUAUAUACAUAUAUAUAAAAUUCUGCAAAAUGUGCUUAAAAAGCAAAAACAA